AACCAAUCAAUAUGUCUCUCUCACAUUAAUGUUUCUUUCCCCCUUUUUUCCUUCUCUCCACUUUUUUUCCAUCUGUCUAAAACCAAUGGAAAAAAUAUCCUUGGAUAAGGAUUAAGAAACAAAAAGAAUAAUUAUAAUGGUCAGGUAAAGUAAGAUGAGAAAUUGCUGCACAGUUUCUAUGAUACUGUGUACUAUAAAUUUAUUCACCCAUUUCCUAUUGAUUCAUCUUGUUGCUAGUUAUUGUCACCACAAACAAACUUGAGUAAAUACCCUUACAUGUAGUUAUUUGAUUACUGGAGGGUAGAUUAUAGGCAAGAGGUUGCUAGACAUAUCUAAGGAUAUAUGCUAUUUAAACAUUUUAAUAGAUACUAUUAGUCAAUUUUAAAAAGACAAGAAAUGCUGUAAAUAAAUGAAUAGAAUACUACUUAGCCAUAGGAAAAGAUGAAAUACUGCCUUUGUGACAACAUGGAUGGAUCUUGAGAAUAUCUGCUAAGUGAAAGUCAGACAUAAAAAGUCAAAAGUCAAGAACCACAAAUUCACUCACGUAGGAUAUAAAACUGAAAGUAACAAAUGAACAAAUAAGACAAUAUGGUGGUAACUGGAGGGAAGGGUUUAGGGUGUAGUAAAGAGGGUCAAAUAUAUGGUAACUGAAGAUAUGACUUAGAGUGGUGGGCACACAAUGCAAUAUAUAAAGGCCAUAUAUCAAAAAAUUGUAUAUUUGAAAUCUAUAUAAUUUCAUUAACCAAUGUCACCCCGAUAAAUUUAAUUUAAAAAUAGAUAAAAAGACAUGUAGUCUGCAAUAGAUGGCAUUGACAUGCUCAAAUUCAUGCUGGUCUGAUGAGUAUAAAACUCACCUACUCCUGGAUUUGCUUUGUAAAUUUUGAUACUGUUAACCCAUUUUCCUAAAGGAUUAUGUUUGUUGUUUUUUUGAAGACCUCUUCAUAUAUUAGCUAGUGGGAAUUUGUCUAAUUUUUGUUAUAAAAAAUGUGAUUUUUUUCCAUUAAAUAUUAUUAAAUGCCUCUG